GGUUGUCGUCAGCUCGUGCCGUGAGGUGUCGGGUUAAGUCCCAUAACGAGCGCCAACCCCUAUCAUUUAGUUGCCAUCAGGUCAUGCGUGGGGACUACUAAAGGAACUGCCUACGCAAGUAGUGAGGAAGGCGGGGAUGACGUCAAAUCAGCACCGGCCCUUACGUCCAGGGCUACACACGUGCUACAAUGGCCGAUACAGAGGGCAGCUACCUGGUGACAGGAUGCAAAUCUCCAAAGUCGGUCUCAGUUCGGAUCGGAGUCUGCAACCCGACUCCGUGAAGUUGGAUUCGCUAGUAAUCGCGCAUCAGCCAUGGCGCGGUGAAUACGUUCCCGGGCCUU
rnacentral:rRNA from 1 species